rnacentral:miRNA from 1 species
UUGAGGGGACUGAGGUGCGGAG